CCCAUAACGCCCCAUGAUAUCCCAUAAUGCCCCAUAACCCCAUAACGCCCCAUGACAUCCCAUAAUGCCCCAUAACCCCAUAACGCCCCAUGAUAUCCCAUAACCCCCCAUAACCCCAUAACCCCAUAACGCCCCAUGAUAUCCCAUAAUACCCCAUAACCCCAUAAUAUCCCAUAACCCCCAUAACCCCAUUACCCCCCAUAGCCCCAUAAUACCCCGUAACCCCAUAACCCCCCAAUAACCCCAUAACCCCCCCAUAAUACCCCAUAACCCCCCCAUAAUACCCCCAUAACCCCCCCAUAACCCCAUUACCCCCCAUAGCCCCAUAAUACCCCAUAACCCCAUAACCCCCCAUAACCCCAUAACCCCCCAAUAACCCCAUAACCCCUCCCAUAACCCCAUAACACCCCAUAACCCCCCAUAACCCCCUCAUAACCCCCUCAUAACCCCCCCAUAACCCCAUAAUGUCCCAUAACCCCAUAAUACCUCAUAACCCCAUAACCCCCCAUAAUACCCCAUAACGCCCCAUAACCCCACAGCGCCCCACAGCGCCCCGCAGCGCCCCGGCUGACCUUCGAGGUGCCGCAGAACGGCGCUCAGCCGAUGGGCGCACGGAGCGAAAAUCCCCACCGUGAGCGGAGCGGCGGCCGCGCAAACGGUGCGCGCCAAACAGUGCGCGUACAGCCGGUCCGGGGCUGCAAUUAACGGCAAUUAACAGUAAUUAACGGUAAUUAACGGCAUGUGAGCCAAACAGUGCGCGUACAGACGGUCCGGGGCUGCAAUUAACGGUAAUUAACAGUAAUUAAUUAACGGAUUAACGGCGUGUGAGCCAAACAGUGCGCGUAGAGACGGUCCGGGGCUGCAAUUAAUUAACGGUAAUUAAUUAACAGUAAUUAAUGGGGUAUUGGGCUGUGAGCCAAACAGUGCGCGUAGAGACGGUCCGGGGCUGCAAUUAACGGUAAUUAACGGUAAUUAACGGUAAUUAAUGGGGUAUUGGGCUGUGAGCCAAACAGUGCGCGUAGAGACGGUCCGGGGCUGCAAUUAAUUAACGGUAAUUAGCGGUAAUUAGCGGUAAUUAAUGGGGUGUGAGCCAAACAGUGCGCGUACAGACGGUCCGGGGCUGCAAUUAACGGUAAUUAACGGUAAUUAAUUAAUGGGGUAUUGGGCUGUGAGCCAAACAGUGCGCGUAGAGACGGUCCGGGGCUGCAAUUAGCGGUAAUUAACGGUAAUUAAUUAAUGGGGUAUUGGGCUGUGAGCCAAACAGUGCGCGUACAGCCGGACCGGGGCUGCAAUUAACGGUAAUUAACGGUAAUUAACAGUAAUUAACGGCAUGUGAGCCAAACAGUGCGCGUACAGCCGGUCCGGGGCUGCAAUUAACGGCAAUUAACGGUAAUUAGCGGUAAUUAAUGGGGUGUGAUCCAAACAGUGCGCGUACAGCCGGUCCGGGGCUGCAAUUAACGGCAAUUAACAGUAAUUAAUUAAUGGGGUAUUGGGCUGUGAGCCAAACAGUGCGCGUACAGCCGGUCCGGGGCUGCAAUUAACGGCAAUUAACGGUAAUUAAUUAACAGUAAUUAAUGGGGUGUGAGCCAAACAGUGCGCGUACAGACGGUCCGGGGCUGCAAUUAACGGCAAUUAACGGUAAUUAAUUAACAGUAAUUAACGGCAUCUGAGCCAAACAGUGCGCGUAGAGACGGUACGGGGCUGCAGUUAACGGCAAUUAACAGUAAUUAAUUAAUGGGGUAUUGGGCUGUGAACCAAACAGUGCGCGUAGAGACGGUCCCGGGCUGUUAAUUAACAGUAAUUAGCAGUAAUUAGCGGUAAUUAACGGCAUGUGAGCCAAACAGUGCGCGUAGAGACGGUCCGGGGCUGCAAUUAGCGGUAAUUAACAAUAAUGAAUGGGGUGUGAGCCAAACAGCGCGCGUACAGCUGGUCCGGGGCUGCCAAUUAAUGGGUAUUAAUGAGUUAUUAAUGGGUUAUUAAUGCGAUAUUAAUGGGGCUAUGGGAUUAUUGGGGCCAUCGAUGGGGUUACGGGGUCAUUAUGGGGUCAUUGUGGGGUCAUUGUGGGGUCAUUGGGAUUUGGGUUCGGGUUGGGGUCAGGUUGAGGUUUAGGGCCACGAUUAGGAUCACUUUUAGGGUCGGGUUUAGGAUUAGGAUCAGGUUUAGGGUCGGGUUGAAGAUUAGGAUCAGGUUUAGGGUCGGGUUGAAGAUUAGGGUCGGGUUUAGGGUCAGGUUUAGGAUUAGGGUUGGGUUGGGGUUGGGAUUAGGAUCAGGAACAGGUUUAGGAUUAGGAUCAGGUUUAGGGUCGGGUUUAGGAUUAGGGUCGGGUUUAGGAUCGGGUUUAGGAUCAGGUUUAGGGUCGGGUUUAAGAUCAGGUUUAGGGUCAGGUUUAGGAUCACGUUUAGGGUUGGGUUUGGGGUCGGGUUUAAGGUCACAUUUAGGGUCACAUUUAGGGUCGGCUUUGGGGUUGGGUUUAGGAUCACAUUUAGGGUCGGGUUUAGGGUCACAUCUAGGGUCACAUUUAGGGUCGGGUUUGGGGUCGGGUUUAGGAUCACAUUUAGGAUCACAUUUAGGGUCGGGUUUGGGGUCGGGUUUGGGGUCGGGGGGGGCCGUACCUUCGUGCUCCUCCCACUCCCACUCCCACUCGGAGCCGUCGCUGUCCCCAUCGCUGUGGGGCGGCCCCACAUCCAGCAGUGCUCCGCGCUCCUCCACGGAGCCCGAAGGGCGGCGCUGUGGGGCGGAAUGGGGGAUGCGGGUUAUGGGGUGGGCUAUGGGGUACGGGG
rnacentral:lncRNA from 1 species